UACAGAGGUCCCAAGCGUUGCUCGGAUUCACUGGGCGUAAAGGGUGCGUAGGCGGUUUGAUAAGUCUGAUGUGAAAUCCCGCAGCUUAACUGCGGAACUGCAUUGGAAACUAUUUGACUAGAGGAAUGGAGGGGAGACUGGAAUACUUGGUGUAGCAGUGAAAUGCGUAGAUAUCAAGUGGAACACCAGUGGCGAAGGCGAGUCUCUGGACAUUUCCUGACGCUGAGGCACGAAAGCCAGGGGAGCAAACGGG
rnacentral:rRNA from 1 species